AUUGAACGCUGGCGGCAUGCUUUACACAUGCAAGUCGAACGGCAGCGCGGGCUUCGGCCUGGCGGCGAGUGGCGAACGGGUGAGUAAUACAUCGGAACGUGCCCAGUAGUGGGGGAUAGCUCGGCGAAAGCCGGAUUAAUACCGCAUACGACCUGAGGGUGAAAGCGGGGGAUCUUCGGACCUCGCGCUAUUGGAGCGGCCGAUGGCAGAUUAGCUAGUUGGUGGGGUAAAGGCCUACCAAGGCGACGAUCUGUAGCUGGUCUGAGAGGCCGACCAGCCACACUGGGACUGAGACACGGCCCAGACUCCUACGGGAGGCAGCAGUGGGGAAUUUUGGACAAUGGGCGAAAGCCUGAUCCAGCAAUGCCGCGUGUGUGAUGAAGGCCUUCGGGUUGUAAAGCACUUUUGGCGGGAACGAAAAGGACUGUGCCAAUACCACGGUUCGAUGACGGUACCCGCAGAAUAAGCACCGGCUAACUACGUG
rnacentral:rRNA from 1 species